rnacentral:rRNA from 1 species
UGCAUGUCUAAGUAUAAGCAAUUAUACGGCGAAACUGCGAAUGGCUCAUUAUAUAAGUUAUCGUUUAUUUGAUAGCACCUUACUACUUGGAUAACCGUGGUAAUUCUAGAGCUAAUACAUGCUAAAAAUCCCGACUUCGGAAGGGAUGUAUUUAUUAGAUUAAAAACCAAUGCCCUCUGGGCUCUCUGGUGAUUCAUGAUAACUUCUCGAAUCGCAUGGCCUUGCGCCGGCGAUGGUUCAUUCAAAUUUCUUCCCUAUCAACUUUCGAUGUUUGGGUAGUGGCCAAACAUGGUUGCAACGGGUAACGGAGGGUUAGGGCUCGACCCCGGAGAAGGAGCCUGAGAAACGGCUACUACAUCCAAGGAAGGCAGCAGGCGCGCAAAUUACCCAAUCCCGACACGGUGAGGUAGUGACAAUAAAUACUGAUACAGGGCUCUUUUGGGUCUAGUAAUUGGAAUGAGUGCGAUUUAAAUCCUUUUACGAGGAACAAUUGGAGGCA